AGACGCGCAACGGCAGCAGCGUAGUCUGUUUGGAGCCACUGGUUGAGAUCAUUGAACACUCAGAGCACUGUGUGAACGGAUUAUGGGAUACAAAUUGACUACCUCCACUUACCUAAUAAUGGAAACCCCACUUUCUAUCCCUAAAUAGCCACUAAAACGUCGGAUGAGUGACAACAGAGAUGCUGCGAACAACGGCCGAAAUCCUGGAGCGUCUUUUUUUAUGUUUUGGACUGUGGGUGUGUGAUCACUGAACACUCAGAGCACUGUCUGAACGGAUUGUGGGAUACAAAUCGGCACAUUCACCUACCAAAAUGAUGGACCCUCUAAAUAGCACCUAAAGCGUUGGAUGAGUGGGAUCAGAGAUGCUGCGAACCACAACAAUCCUGGAGCGUCUUUUUUGAAGAGCACUGUGGGUGUGUGCACUGUCUGACCGGAUUGUGGGAUACAAAUUGACCACCUCCAACUUCCAAAUUAUGGAAACCUAAACUCGCCCCCCUAAAUAGCCACAAAAGCAUCGGAUGAGUGAGACCAGAUAUGCAUUUCUUGCUUUUUUGAUCGGGGCUGUGGGUGUGUUUUACGCGCUGGGCUCGUCGUUUCGUCCGGACUUGCUGCUCGCCAAAACUUCCCCCCUGCUUCCCAUCAAGUCAUGUCUGAUACACAGCGAUGGGCAAGUUUGACGACAACGAGAGGAUAAUCCUCAACGUGGGGGGCACCAGGCACGAGACGUACAAAAGCACCCUGAAAACACUGCCGGGCACGCGCUUGGCCCUGCUUGCCUCCGACUCGGACAUCGACUCGGUGCUGGAUCAGCUGCAACAAGUGCCGGGGUUUCUAGAGUACAAUGCGCGGACAAACGAGUACUUCUUCGACCGCCACCCGGGGGUUUUCGCCUAUGUGUUGAACUACUAUCGCACCGGGAAGCUCCACUGCCCGGCGGAUGUGUGUGGACCUUUAUUCGAGGAAGAGCUCUCUUUCUGGGGCAUCGAUGAGAUGGACGUUGAGCCCUGCUGCUGGAUGACGUACCGCCAGCACCGGGACGCGGAGGAGGCUCUGGAUGUGUUUGAGCUCAACGUGGACACCGGGGAGGAUGAGGAUGAGAUAGGGAAGAGGUUUGGGAUUGAGGACGUGGUGGAUGGGAAUGUGAGUCUGUGGAGGAAGUGGCAACCGGUCAUCUGGAACCUGUUCGAGGACCCAUAUUCAUCCAGGGCGGCGAGGUUUAUAGCCUUUGCCUCGUUGUUCUUCAUCCUGGUCUCCAUCACCACCUUCUGCUUGGAGACUCACGAAGCGUUUAACACCAUUAUCAACAAGACAGAUCCAAUGAGGAACAGCAGCGCUCCGGACUCAGGCCCGCAGUACGAGAUAGAAACUGACCCAGCCCUCACCUAUGUGGAGGGCGUUUGCGUCUUCUGGUUCACCAUCGAAUUCCUCGUCCGCGUCACGUUCUGUCCGGUGAAGCUGGAGUUUAUUAAAAGCGUCCUCAACAUCAUCGACUUUGUGGCCAUCCUGCCUUUCUACUUAGAGGUUGGGUUGAGCGGCCUUUCUUCCAAAGCUGCCAAAGAUGUGUUGGGUUUCCUCAGAGUGGUUCGCUUCGUUCGAAUCCUUCGUAUCUUCAAGCUAACGCGUCACUUUGUGGGUUUAAGAGUGCUCGGACACACUUUACGAGCGAGCACCAACGAAUUCCUGCUGCUCAUAAUUUUCCUGGCGUUGGGAGUACUUAUUUUCGCCACCAUGAUCUACUACGCCGAGCGAAUUGGCGCAGAUCCCAACGACCCAACGGGUAGCAACCACACAAAGUUCAAAAACAUCCCAAUUGGCUUUUGGUGGGCCGUGGUGACCAUGACAACACUGGGUUAUGGAGACAUGUAUCCAAAGACCUGGUCAGGCAUGGUUGUUGGUGCGUUGUGUGCCUUGGCGGGCGUUCUGACGAUAGCCAUGCCCGUUCCUGUUAUCGUGAAUAACUUUGGGAUGUACUACUCGCUGGCCAUGGCCAAGCAGAAGCUUCCCAAGAAGAGGAAGAAGCACAUUCCUCAGGCGGUGCAGGGGGGGUCGCCCAUUUACUGCCAAGCUGAGCUCAACACCACCUGCAACAGCACUCAAAGUGACCUGUGCAACACCAAAGGAGGAAGGGGACUCGAACGCAACCGCUCAGUUCUGUCAGCAGACUGCAGUGACCUCACUCUGUCCCCGGAGGAGAGGGUCCCGAUGAGGAGGUCCAGCACCCGAGAGCAGGACCUCAGCGGGGGGGGAACCUGCUUCCUGCUCGCUGCCAGUGACUACGCUGCAGACGGAGGGAUGAGGAAGACAGGCUAUGAGAAAUCCCGGAGUUUAAACAACAUUUCGAGCAUGUCAUCGAACACCCUGAGGUUUUCUCCCGUGACCUCGCCGUACGGAUCGCCCUGCCCUCUGCGACGCUCUCGCUCCCCCAUCCCCUCCAUCCUCUGAGACCUCGUCCAACACACACACACACACACACACACACACGCACGCACACAACCUCCCUAUGGUCUUACAUCUGCACUUCUAAAUAGGCAAAAAGUGCAGCUGAAAUUAGUAUAAAAUAGCAUUUAAAAUCAGUCAAGCAAAUAAAUAAUCAUAAAACAAGCUCAUGUAGAAUAAUACUGGUAUAACAUACUUGAAUAAAAGUUACAGUGCAGUGUCAGAAUAGUUUAUACUAAAUAUUGUGGGGGGGAAAAUCGACAAGAAAUCACAUUUUGGUAAGAAAUGAACAAAUAUAGAAAUGUGUGUUAUUUAAUAAAGUCAAAGCAUUCAACAGAGUUUAAUUUAAUUAAUUAAAUGUAUUAUGUCAACUGAUUUAGGUUAGUUGAAAUCAACAAUAUUAAGUUUGAAUAACAAAUAUUAGGUUCAACUUAAUACUAUUGCUUGAAAUCUGUUGACAUAAAACAUUAAAUUAAAGUCAACCUUUCAGUUUUUUCAGUGCAUCCAAACACAAGUCAUACAAACAAUUUACAUUACAGUCAAUCAAUCAAUCAAUCAACGUUUAUUUAUAGCCCAAUAUCAUAUGGACUUUAAAGUUCGAAUGGUACAAAGGACAGAGAGGGAAAUACAUCACGCAUGGUAAUUACAAACCUAACAUCCAUGUGGUAAAACCCAAAUUAGGAAGUUAUGAAGACAAGUAUAAUUAAAUUAGACUUAUGAUACAUUUCCACAAUGAAGAUGAUAGAGCAUAAGUGCUUACAUGUGUAGCUAAGACUAUUAUAGAAACUUUUCCCUGCAGAUAGAUGAGCUUUUCCUGGAGUUCCUUUAGCUCGAUAAUGUUUGACACUUGCAAUAAAACACCUUGGCUUCAGAAGUAGCAGCCAUAGAUAAAAGGACACAUGAAUAAUCAGGGAUGUUGCUGUAUUUAGGUGAAAAAGACGUGCUUCCAAUAAAGAGGAAAGAGAGAGAUAUCAUUUUAACCUCACAUUACUUUAUUUUCCGUGCUGGAGACAGAAGAGGACGUUCGUCUCGACUCACAAUCUGUCUCUCACCUGCUCGUGUUAUUGCAUGGAUCAUCCUGUCACCAUCCAACAACACGGUAUGGGGAGAAGGAAGGGACACCGUGAGAUUGAAAAACAUAUAUAUAGGAGGAGUUUUUAAUUUAACGUUAUUAUGUUGGGCUUUCGGAAGAAGACUCGUGUCUCAUUUUGCCAUUUCCUUCAUCUACAGUCCACCCAGGAGACUGAAAACACACAGAAUACCAGCUGUGUGUGUUUCCAUUUCCAAUUCUCUCCAUGUUUCUGUUUCCUCUGACUGGGUGCCACCAAAGCUGUGUGUGUCUCUGGUUGUUCACUCACAGAUAUCUGCAAAGAGGUUGUCUUUACUGGUUUCACACAAGCAGAGAGCAGCGUUCUGUCUUAACAUCCUGGAGGAAAUGACACCGCCAUUUUGGACAGACGAAUCAUUCCCUAUUUGAAUGACGGAGGGAUAAGUCUUCAGUCACGAGGACAUCCUGCAGGACAUUAUGUGGACGAGGAGGCGCACAAAAACUCUUUCUGACUGACAGCUGUCGGCUCAACAGGAAGUUAAAGAUCAAAAAGGAAAUCCUGGGAGAACUUGGAUUAGCAUUUACGUUUUCUUUUACGUCUUGUUUUGUUUUCCUGUGGAGAGCGGACACGUCUUCAAAAGAGACUGUAUAGAUAUCGCUCCUGUAUAUAAGACAACAAACGUCUUUCGAUGGUAAAGAUGUUUGCUAAUUGACACUCAAUCAAGUGUAUUAAGAUGUGAGGCACUUUGUGUGUACUUAAAAAUGAAGUGUUGAUAUAUGAACUUCUACAUACAGUAUAUACGGUACACAGAGACAAAGUUGGAUACAUGUAACAUCUCUGCUUCUGUUUUGGUCAUUUCCAGCAGGUUUAAAGUGCUCUGCUGUGUGUAAAUGUGUGUAUGUGUGUGUGUGUGUAUCCUAAAAACACCAGGGUAAGAUCUGCAGUUUGAUUGGUCGGAGUGGACCGUCACUCUUCCAGUUAGUUUGAGCACAAACACCAAGGAGACAGAGUUCUGUGAUGCAGGCGCCGUUGUAGAAGUCCCCGAAGUCGUGCAUAUGUGCUGCAGAUGUUUUGCAAAACCAAAUGUAUUCUUACUACUCGAAACUGCAUAACUUUAUUUUUUCAAAGUUGCCCCGUCGGAGCAAAAAGUGUAGCAGAAGUUUAUAAAGCGGGACUUCUAGAAUGGCUACAUCUGCACAGUAGCAAAAAUCCCAAACAAUCAGAUCAAGAUUUGCAAUAAAACCCAAAAAAAACAAAACGCCGAUCCACACUGUGAUUUCAGCAGCCCGUUUUAAACAAGAAGGCAAAAGUCAAGCUCUGACGGAAAGGACUGCAACGUUGAUGUUUAGCUGUCAAAGUGUCACCCUUUUACCCACAAUCCUCCUUGUUGUCAUACUUGCCAACCCUCCCGAUUUUCGCGGGAGACUCCCGAUUUCAUUGCCCUCUCCCGUUUUCCUCCCGGGGUCAUAUUUCUCCCGAUUUCUGACAAAAUUGGAUUUACUCACGACUGCUUCCACUCAGACUUCAAUACAGCUACACCAUUGUUUGGUUUCCAUGGUAGCGCGUCUCUUUAGUAGCGCGCGCAACUGAAAGUCUGAGAGGGUGAUGAAGAUCAGUCACAGAAAACAGAACAAGAAUCGACAAAACUCCCCCCUGCUCACUCCUCAGGUCCAGCCCACACAUAUGCUCCAUCAAGACAGUGCACUUACAACUAGCAUACAAGCAUACAUACAGCAUACAUACAGCAUGUUAAGCUAAUAGCCUACAGCUCCGGUGAUCCACUAGCCCCCCCCCCGGUGGUUUUUAAAUGCUCCCGAUUUCUGAGGUCUCAAGGUUGGCAAGUAUGCUUGUUGUACACACGCUGCUUCACUCUGUUAAUGGAAAAAAGCAGUGGUCGUUAUUCGUGUCUUUUCGGGAAGAUGUAGUGAAAGAAAAAAAAAAAGGUGUUUAUUUUUUUGAAUCCAGAACAUGUAUUUUUGUGUCUUCUUCACUGUUGCUCUUAUUUGUAAAACAAAACAAAGUCAUGGUAGUCUGAUGCUUCCCAUUGUGUCCUCGAACUGUCAGGGUUUUGAUCCGAUGUUUCGUACGUUUUACUGUGAGGAAAAACUCUAGUUUGAAGUCUGUAUUCGUGGAGCCGUUCGUGCAUGCUGAAAAAAAAUGUCAAAUUGUAUUAAAAAAAAAAAAAUGACAUUCUGUAUUUCACAUUCAACCCAGAGUGAAGGUAAAUGCUAUGUGAGGGUUUCACAUAAACUGUUUAUCUUUUAA